rnacentral:rRNA from 1 species
CAGCCGCCGCGGGAAUACGUAGGGCGCAAGCGUUGUCCGGAAUUAUUGGGCGUAAAGAGCUCGUAGGCGGUCUGUCGCGUCUGGUGUGAAAUCCCGAGGCUCAACCUCGGGCUUGCAUCGGGUACGGGCAGACUAGAGUGCGGUAGGGGAGACUGGAAUUCCUGGUGUAGCGGUGGAAUGCGCAGAUAUCAGGAGGAACACCGAUGGCGAAGGCAGGUCUCUGGGCCGCAACUGACGCUGAGGAGCGAAAGCAUGGGGAGCGAACAGGAUUAGAUACCCCCGUAGUCCCUGUCUCUUAUAC